GAAAAUACCUCGGAAAAUGAAAGUUCAACGAGGGCGGAGGGCCUGCAGCGGAAACAGAGAGGAAAUGCAGCCCUCGUCCGUGAACCCCCAGACGAUGCGGAAAUCGCCCUCGCGGCUGCACAGUUGCAGAGACCUCGCCUCCACGUUGUUUCCGCAUGAAGGGAAGAGACGAUGUCAGGAGACGCCGAGCAGUUGUCACGGGAACCGCGCGCGCGCGCUCGGCCGCGGUACCGGGGAAGGGCCAGAAGAGGGCGCCGGACCCCGUUAUAGAUGGCUGUGAGCCA